GUUAAGCGACUAAGCGUACACGGUGGAUGCCCUGGCAGUCAGAGGCGAUGAAGGACGUGCUAAUCUGCGAUAAGCGUCGGUGAGGUGAUAUGAACCGUUAUAACCGGCGAUUUCCGAAUGGGGAAACCCAGUGUGUUUCGACACACUAUCAUUAACUGAAUCCAUAGGUUAAUGAGGCGAACCGGGGGAACUGAAACAUCUAAGUACCCCGAGGAAAAGAAAUCAACCGAGAUUCCCCCAGUAGCGGCGAGCGAACGGGGAGGAGCCCAGAGCCUGAAUCAGUGUGUGUGUUAGUGGAAGCGUCUGGAAAGGCGCGCGAUACAGGGUGACAGCCCCGUACACAAAAAUGCACAUGCUGUGAGCUCGAUGAGUAGGGCGGGACACGUGGUAUCCUGUCUGAAUAUGGGGGGACCAUCCUCCAAGGCUAAAUACUCCUGACUGACCGAUAGUGAACCAGUACCGUGAGGGAAAGGCGAAAAGAACCCCGGCGAGGGGAGUGAAAAAGAACCUGAAACCGUGUACGUACAAGCAGUGGGAGCCUCUUAAUGGGGUGACUGCGUACCUUUUGUAUAAUGGGUCAGCGACUUAUAUUCUGUAGCAAGGUUAACCGAAUAGGGGAGCCGAAGGGAAACCGAGUCUUAACUGGGCGUUAAGUUGCAGGGUAUAGACCCGAAACCCGGUGAUCUAGCCAUGGGCAGGUUGAAGGUUGGGUAACACUAACUGGAGGACCGAACCGACUAAUGUUGAAAAAUUAGCGGAUGACUUGUGGCUGGGGGUGAAAGGCCAAUCAAACCGGGAGAUAGCUGGUUCUCCCCGAAAGCUAUUUAGGUAGCGCCUCGUGAAUUCAUCUCCGGGGGUAGAGCACUGUUUCGGCAAGGGGGUCAUCCCGACUUACCAACCCGAUGCAAACUGCGAAUACCGGAGAAUGUUAUCACGGGAGACACACGGCGGGUGCUAACGUCCGUCGUGAAGAGGGAAACAACCCAGACCGCCAGCUAAGGUCCCAAAGUCAUGGUUAAGUGGGAAACGAUGUGGGAAGGCCCAGACAGCCAGGAUGUUGGCUUAGAAGCAGCCAUCAUUUAAAGAAAGCGUAAUAGCUCACUGGUCGAGUCGGCCUGCGCGGAAGAUGUAACGGGGCUAAACCAUGCACCGAAGCUGCGGCAGCGACACUAUGUGUUGUUGGGUAGGGGAGCGUUCUGUAAGCCUGUGAAGGUGGCCUGUGAGGGUUGCUGGAGGUAUCAGAAGUGCGAAUGCUGACAUAAGUAACGAUAAAGCGGGUGAAAAGCCCGCUCGCCGGAAGACCAAGGGUUCCUGUCCAACGUUAAUCGGGGCAGGGUGAGUCGACCCCUAAGGCGAGGCCGAAAGGCGUAGUCGAUGGGAAACAGGUUAAUAUUCCUGUACUUGGUGUUACUGCGAAGGGGGGACGGAGAAGGCUAUGUUGGCCGGGCGACGGUUGUCCCGGUUUAAGCGUGUAGGCUGGUUUUCCAGGCAAAUCCGGAAAACCAAGGCUGAGGCGUGAUGACGAGGCACUACGGUGCUGAAGCGACAAAUGCCCUGCUUCCAGGAAAAGCCUCUAAGCAUCAGGUAACAUCAAAUCGUACCCCAAACCGACACAGGUGGUCAGGUAGAGAAUACCAAGGCGCUUGAGAGAACUCGGGUGAAGGAACUAGGCAAAAUGGUGCCGUAACUUCGGGAGAAGGCACGCUGAUAUGUAGGUGAAGCGACUUGCUCGUGGAGCUGAAAUCAGUCGAAGAUACCAGCUGGCUGCAACUGUUUAUUAAAAACACAGCACUGUGCAAACACGAAAGUGGACGUAUACGGUGUGACGCCUGCCCGGUGCCGGAAGGUUAAUUGAUGGGGUUAGCGGCAACGCGAAGCUCUUGAUCGAAGCCCCGGUAAACGGCGGCCGUAACUAUAACGGUCCUAAGGUAGCGAAAUUCCUUGUCGGGUAAGUUCCGACCUGCACGAAUGGCGUAAUGAUGGCCAGGCUGUCUCCACCCGAGACUCAGUGAAAUUGAACUCGCUGUGAAGAUGCAGUGUACCCGCGGCAAGACGGAAAGACCCCGUGAACCUUUACUAUAGCUUGACACUGAACAUUGAGCCUUGAUGUGUAGGAUAGGUGGGAGGCUUUGAAGUGUGGACGCCAGUCUGCAUGGAGCCGACCUUGAAAUACCACCCUUUAAUGUUUGAUGUUCUAACGUUGGCCCGUAAUCCGGGUUGCGGACAGUGUCUGGUGGGUAGUUUGACUGGGGCGGUCUCCUCCUAAAGAGUAACGGAGGAGCACGAAGGUUGGCUAAUCCUGGUCGGACAUCAGGAGGUUAGUGCAAUGGCAUAAGCCAGCUUGACUGCGAGCGUGACGGCGCGAGCAGGUGCGAAAGCAGGUCAUAGUGAUCCGGUGGUUCUGAAUGGAAGGGCCAUCGCUCAACGGAUAAAAGGUACUCCGGGGAUAACAGGCUGAUACCGCCCAAGAGUUCAUAUCGACGGCGGUGUUUGGCACCUCGAUGUCGGCUCAUCACAUCCUGGGGCUGAAGUAGGUCCCAAGGGUAUGGCUGUUCGCCAUUUAAAGUGGUACGCGAGCUGGGUUUAGAACGUCGUGAGACAGUUCGGUCCCUAUCUGCCGUGGGCGCUGGAGAACUGAGGGGGGCUGCUCCUAGUACGAGAGGACCGGAGUGGACGCAUCACUGGUGUUCGGGUUGUCAUGCCAAUGGCACUGCCCGGUAGCUAAAUGCGGAAGAGAUAAGUGCUGAAAGCAUCUAAGCACGAAACUUGCCCCGAGAUGAGUUCUCCCUGAGACUUAGAGUCUCCUGAAGGAACGUUGAAGACGACGACGUUGAUAGGCCGGGUGUGUAAGCGCAGCGAUGCGUUGAGCUAACCGGUACUAAUGAACCGUGAGGCUUAACCUUACAACGCCGAAG
rnacentral:rRNA from 1 species